rnacentral:rRNA from 1 species
AGAGUUUGAUCAUGGCUCAGGAUGAACGCUGGCGGCGUGCUUAACACAUGCAAGUCGAACGAAGCACUUUAUUCGAAUUCUUCGGAAGGAAGAUUUAGUGACUGAGUGGCGGACGGGUGAGUAACGCGUGGGCAACCUGCCUCAUACAGGGGGAUAACAGUUGGAAACGACUGCUAAUACCGCAUAAGCGCACAGUACCGCAUGGUACGGUGUGAAAAACUCCGGUGGUAUGAGAUGGGCCCGCGUCUGAUUAGCCAGUUGGCGGGGUAACGGCCCACCAAAGCGACGAUCAGUAGCCGACCUGAGAGGGUGACCGGCCACAUUGGGACUGAGACACGGUCCAAACUCCUACGGGAGGCAGCAGUGGGGAAUAUUGCACAAUGGGGGAAACCCUGAUGCAGCGACGCCGCGUGAGCGAAGAAGUAUUUCGGUAUGUAAAGCUCUAUCAGCAGGGAAGAAGAAUGACGGUACCUGACUAAGAAGCACCGGCUAAAUACGUGCCAGCAGCCGCGGUAAUACGUAUGGUGCAAGCGUUAUCCGGAUUUACUGGGUGUAAAGGGAGCGCAGGCGGAAGGCUAAGUCUGAUGUGAAAGCCCGGGGCUCAACCCCGGUACUGCAUUGGAAACUGGUCAUCUAGAGUGUCGGAGGGGUAAGUGGAAUUCCUAGUGUAGCGGUGAAAUGCGUAGAUAUUAGGAGGAACACCAGUGGCGAAGGCGGCUUACUGGACGAUUACUGACGCUGAGGCUCGAAAGCGUGGGGAGCAAACAGGAUUAGAUACCCUGGUAGUCCACGCCGUAAAC